GGCUGACAGUAUCGAGGGAAGAAGCCCCGGCUAACUCCGUGCCAGCAGCCGCGGUAAUACGGGGGGGGCAAGCGUUGUUCGGAAUUAUUGGGCGUAAAGGGUUCGUAGGCGGUCGACUCAGUCAGACGUGAAAUCCCUCGGCUUAACCGGGGAACUGCGUCUGAUACUAGUUGGCUUGAGUGCAGGAGAGGAAUGCGGAAUUCCAGGUGUAGCGGUGAAAUGCGUAGAUAUCUGGAGGAACACCGGUGGCGAAGGCGGCAUUCUGGACUGUAACUGACGCUGAGGAACGAAAGCCAGGGGAGCAAACGGGAUUAGAUACCCUUGUAGUC
rnacentral:rRNA from 1 species